UACGUAGGGUCCGAGCGUUGUCCGGAGUUACUGGGCGUAAAGCGCGCGCCGGCGGCGGUGUUGGCCCGGCGUGAAAGCCCCCGGCUCAACCGGGGAGAGUCGUCGGGGACCGCACCGCUUGAGGGCGGUAGGGGCUGGUGGAAUGCCUGGUGUAGUGGUGAAAUGCGUAGAGAUCAGGCAGAACACCUGGGGCGAAGGCGGCCAGCUGGGCCGUCCCUGACGCUGAGGCGCGAAGGCGUGGGGAGCGAACGGG
rnacentral:rRNA from 1 species